UUCGGGAAAAGUUAAAAAAAAACCAAAUUUAAAGUGAUUAAAUUUCACCGUUUAAAUUUGGUUUUUAUGAUAGGACCUUAUCAUAAACAUCUCCGAUUUACCUUUAGGUCUGCCAGUAUAAAAAUAAAAUUUCCUGGAAUUUGUAUCGAAUAAGUGUCACUCAUACAUUUUGAUAGGGGAGGGUGUGGGCUCAUUGGAUACAGGAAGAAAUGUUAGCCCAAAACGCGAAAUAUUGAUACCAAUGUUUUGUAAAAUGAUUUUUUUCAUGGGAACUUCAGUUCGCCAUGACUUAGAAAUCGCUCUGGUCUUUUCCUCUCUUUUUCUAUGGAACCCCAAUGGGAUGGUCUUGAAAAUGCCCAGUGUUGGUUUUUGGUUUUCAAAAGCACACCACGCGAAAGAUUCUGCAACUUUCUCCGGCCAAUUAGGAAAAAAAUAGUUCUGGUGAACAGCAUUUUUGCGCAAGCUUUACAGGUUGUUUUAUUUUAUUUUAUUUUAUUUUUAUUAAUUUUUAUUAAUUUUUUUAUUUUUAGUUAACCCGGUUCCAAACGUAUGAGGAUGAUCAGUUUUUGAACAAUUACUAUAAAAGAGAACUGGACGCUGUUCCGCGACGAGAUUACCAAUUCUGGCUUUUGAUGGAAGAGCUGUACAAUUUCACGCCCGUUUUUAUAUUUUUGCGACCGAAGGACAAGCAUGAUAUUUGGGACUUAACCGAGUCCUUCACAGGUCAAUUAUGGUUUGCCACUGGUGUCCUACUUUUAUGCUUCAUCGCUGUUUUCCAUUGGUCAUCUUGUUUACACGACGACACGCAGAAUGAACGCAGCUCAUUGCUUUUUAUUGUUGCUGUCAUGUCUCAAAGAGGUAUUUUUUUAAGAAAAGGCAGAAUUACGAUUUUCAAUCUUAAUCUAAUCGUUUUCUUUUAAAAUAUAUGAUAGUACCUCAAUUUAUUUAAACCCUCAGUA
rnacentral:lncRNA from 1 species